rnacentral:rRNA from 1 species
AUGAACGCUGGCGGCGUGCCUCAUCCCUGCCAGUCGAGCGAACGGACGAGAAGCUUGCUUCUCUGAUGUUAGCGGCGGACGGGUGAGUAACACGUGGAUAACCUACCUAUAAGACUGGGAUAACUUCGGGAAACCGGAGCUAAUACCGGAUAAUAUUUUGAACCGCAUGGUUCAAAAGUGAAAGACGGUCUUGCUGUCACUUAUAGAUGGAUCCGCGCUGCAUUAGCUAGUUGGUAAGGUAACGGCUUACCAAGGCAACGAUGCAUAGCCGACCUGAGAGGGUGAUCGGCCACACUGGAACUGGGACACGGUCCAGACUCCUACGGGAGGCAGCAGUAGGGAAUCUUCCGCAAUGGGCGAAAGCCUGACGGAGAAACGCCGCGUGAGUGAUGAAGGUCUUCGGAUCGUAAAACUCUGUUAUUAGGGAAGAACAUAUGUGUAAGUAACUGUGCACAUCUUGACGGUACCUAAUCAGAAAGCCACGGCUAACUACGUG